rnacentral:rRNA from 1 species
CUACGGGUCGCAGCAGUGGGGAAUAUUGCACAAUGGGCGCAAGCCUGACGCAGCCAUGCCGCGUGUAUGAAGAAGGCCUUCGGGUUGUAAAGUACUUUCAGCGGGGAGGAAGGGAGUAAAGUUAAUACCUUUGCUCAUUGACGUUACCCGCAGAAGAAGCACCGGCUAACUCCGUGCCAGCAGCCGCGGUAAUACGGAGGGUGCAAGCGUUAAUCGGAAUUACUGGGCGUAAAGCGCACGCAGGCGGUUUGUUAAGUCAGAUGUGAAAUCCCCGGGCUCAACCAGGGAACUGCAUCUGAUACUGGCGAGCUUGAGUCUCGUAGAGGGGGGUAGAAUUCCAGGUGUAGCGGUGACAUGCGUAGAGAUCUGGAGGAAUACCGGUGGCGAAGGCGGCCCCCUGGACGAAGACUGACGCUCAGGUGCGAAAGCGUGGGGAGCAAACAGGAUUAGAUACCCUCGUAGUC